AUUUUAAAGAACGUUUUUCUAUUUCCUUUAUGUGUUUUCCAGGUUGCAUCUCAUUUCUUU
rnacentral:sRNA from 1 species